AGAGUUUGAUCAUGGCUCAGGACGAACGCUGGCGGCGUGCUUAACACAUGCAAGUCGAACGAGGGCCCAGAGCUUGCUCUGGAGAACCGAGUGGCGAACGGGUGAGUAACACGUGACCAACCUGCCUUUGGGAGGGGGACAACCUGGGGAAACCUGGGCUAAUACCGCAUACUGUCCGAGGGUCGCAUGACCUACGGAUAAAAGGGAGCCUCUGCUUGCAAGCUCUCAUCCAAAGAGGGGGUCGCGGCGUAUCAGCUAGUUGGUGGGGUAACGGCCCACCAAGGCUACGACGCGUAGCGGGUCUGAGAGGACGAUCCGUCACAUUGGGACUGAGAUACGGCCCAGACUCCUACGGGAGGCAGCAGUGGGGAAUAUUGCGCAAUGGCCGAAAGGCUGACGCAGCGACGCCGCGUGUGGGAGGACGCCCUUCGGGGUGUAAACCACUGUCAGGGGGGAAGAACUGCGCAGGUGCGAAUAGUGCUUGCGUUUGACGGUACCCCCAGAGGAAGCGCCGGCUAACUCCGUGCCAGCAGCCGCGGUAAGACGGAGGGCGCAAGCGUUGUUCGGAAUUACUGGGCGUAAAGGGCAGGUAGGUGGUCUGUUAAGUCUUCUGUGAAAACCGGGGCUCA
rnacentral:rRNA from 1 species